AAAAAAAUUAAAAUAAUAACAGAAAUAAAAAAAGAAAUAAAAACAGCAAUAACAAUAUUAAUAACAACAUUAAUAAGGACAACACUUGUAAAAACAGGGUGCAAUGAGCUUUAAUGUCAACCAUCCUCUAGAGAUAAAUAAUAAUGAUCUUAACAAACAUGUAGGUAUAACUAUUAAAAAAAAUAUAAAUAAGCAUCAAUAUAUAUCAAACAUUUUUAAAUAUUUUAAAUCCGUACAUAAAAAUAUACCUAUACAUGAGUACGAUAACAUACUCAAAUGUAUGUUAGUGAAUAAUGAUAAGUAUGAAGAUAAUAUAAACAAUUGUAAUUAUAUAAAUAAGGACAAUAACAUUCACAAUUAUCAUAAUAAAAAUAUACUUCCAAGCUCAAAUAAAUCAAUGACACACUAUAAUAAUAAUAAUAAUAAUAAUAAUUAUAACAAUAUUAAUAAUAAUAAUAUUAAUAAUAAUAACAAUAAUUAUAAUUUUUGUGAUAUCAAAAGCCCACAAGUGAAUAUUAAUAUUUCAAAAAAAGAAAAUCCCCAAAAAAAAUAUAUAUACAUGAACAAAGAUAAACAUAAAACUGAUAUAUUGAAAGAUAAAACUAAAGGAUAUGUAAGUGAUAGUAAUAUGUAUGUAAAUAAAAAAAAUAAAGAAAUGGCUAGUAAGGCGGAUAACAAUAACACACAAAAAAAUGUUGCCAAGAAUAAACCUCUUUUGGUAUCAUGUGAAAGGGGUUUAUAUAAUAAUAAAAAUUUUACUAACUUAGGGAAUGAUUCGAUUACAAACAAUAGCAAUGACAAUGGUAAUAAUAUUGGAAAUGGAAAUGAUAAUGGUAACAGUGAUAAAAAUGACAACGAAAACGAUAAAAAAGAAGUAGACAUAAGCACGUAUAAAAAAAAAAUAAAUCAAAUUAGUCAAAUACUAUAUAACUUGAACAGCUUCAAUAAAUUUAAUAAUUUUAAAUUUGAAAAGCAUGAACAAAAAAAGUUUAAGUCAACAAAAAAAGGAAAUAACAAGGAAAAAGAAGAAGUAGAGGCAGAGAAAACGAAUCAUACAUCCAAAAUGAAGUUAUCAAGUAAUGAAAAACAAAAUGAAAUGGAAAAAAGUAUAUACACACGAACAAAAAUUGAAACAGAAGGCGGAAAAAGUAUAACAAACAGAAAUGGUUAUUUAAACCAACCAAUAAACAAUUUAAAAAUAAAAAAAGAAUAUUUAAAAAAUGAAAACAUUGUAGCUCAUGAUAUCUUUUUAUUACAAAGACAAAAACGAAUAAUCAAAUUAUUAAAUAAAAAAGAAAAAAAAUUAAAAAUAAACAUUGCUACUGAUAGUGUAACAACUAAAAGUACAGUUUGUCAACAUAAAACAAAUACCAAAGAAAAAAAAGUCAUUGAAAUUGAUAAAAAAAUUAAUGGUUAUCGUUCUGAUGACCAUUUUGAUAAUAUAAACAAGAAAAAUGAAAUUAGUAGUAAUAGUAAUGAGAUUAAUAGAAAUAGUAAUAUCAACGUUAACGAAGAAAACCAUAUCAGCACUGACAAAGGUCAAGUAGAGGUAGUAAAAGAAAUAGAAGAUAAUGAAGGUUUUAAAGGAUUUGCGUAUAAUAUAUUACCCCAAUCAUGUGAUAAUAUAAACAAUGGUUUUAUACUGAAAAAAAAAAAAAAAAAAAAAAAAAAAAAAAAAUGCAAACAAUACAAACGAUUCAAACGAUGUAAAACAUACAAACGGUGUUGAUACAGGAUAUAUACAACCUGAUCUGAAUGAAAAGAGUUAUAUAUCCAACAAUAGUAACAGUUAUAGUUGUAGCAAUGAUGUUAUAAAUACAAACAUUUUAAUUAGUGAUAGCGAUUUUCAUGAUGCUUAUGAAAAAAAAAAUGAUAAGAACGGCUUUGUUCAUAAUCUUUUAUUUACUAAUGAUAAACAGUACAAUUCUAAGUUAGAUCAAAACACUAUAAAAAAGGUUAAUUCCGAUGCAUCAAAACAAUAUAAAAAAAGAAUGAACAAGUUAUUGGAAUCGGUUGAUUAUAAAUGCACUAGUAAUAACGGUAGUGAAUAUAUUGAUUAUAAUAAUGGACCCAAUGGCUAUGCAAGUAGUGUAAGUUUGAUGAAUUAUAAUGUGAAAGAAACGACAAAAAAAAAUAAAAAUAACAAAAAUAGUAUGCCUAAAAAAAAA
rnacentral:lncRNA from 1 species